rnacentral:rRNA from 1 species
GAAGGUGUGUCGUGAGGCAUGCUGGAGGUAUCAGAAGUGCGAAUGCUGACAUAAGUAACGAUAAAGCGGGUGAAAAGCCCGCUCGCCGGAAGACCAAGGGUUCCUGUCCAACGUUAAUCGGGGCAGGGUGAGUCGACCCCUAAGGCGAGGCCGAAAGGCGUAGUCGAUGGGAAACGGGUUAAUAUUCCCGUACUUGGUGUUACUGCGAAGGGGGGACGGAGAAGGCUAUGUUGGCCGGGCGACGGUUGUCCCGGUUUAAGCGUGUAGGUGUGUGUUCCAGGUAAAUCCGGUUCACUUUAACACUGAGGCGUGACGACGAGGCACUACGGUGCUGAAGCAACAAAUGCCCUGCUUCCAGGAAAAGCCUCUAAGCAUCAGGUAACAUCAAAUCGUACCCCAAACCGACACAGGUGGUCAGGUAGAGAAUACCAAGGCGCUUGAGAGAACUCGGGUGAAGGAACUAGGCAAAAUGGUGCCGUAACUUCGGGAGAAGGCACGCUGACACGUAGGUGAAGUGAUUUACUCAUGGAGCUGAAGUCAGUCGAAGAUACCAGCUGGCUGCAACUGUUUAUUAAAAACACAGCACUGUGCAAACACGAAAGUGGACGUAUACGGUGUGACGCCUGCCCGGUGCCGGAAGGUUAAUUGAUGGGGUCAGCGCAAGCGAAGCUCCUGAUCGAAGCCCCGGUAAACGGCGGCCGUAACUAUAACGGUCCUAAGGUAGCGAAAUUCCUUGUCGGGUAAGUUCCGACCUGCACGAAUGGCGUAAUGAUGGCCAGGCUGUCUCCACCCGAGACUCAGUGAAAUUGAACUCGCUGUGAAGAUGCAGUGUACCCGCGGCAAGACGGAAAGACCCCGUGAACCUUUACUAUAGCUUGACACUGAACAUUGAGCCUUGAUGUGUAGGAUAGGUGGGAGGCUUUGAAGUGUGGACGCCAGUCUGCAUGGAGCCGACCUUGAAAUACCACCCUUUAAUGUUUGAUGUUCUAACGUGGACCCGUUACCCGGGUUGCGGACAGUGUCUGGUGGGUAGUUUGACUGGGGCGGUCUCCUCCUAAAGAGUAACGGAGGAGCACGAAGGUUGGCUAAUCCUGGUCGGACAUCAGGAG